rnacentral:rRNA from 1 species
AUUGAACGCUGGCGGCAGGCCUAACACAUGCAAGUCGAGCGCGAAAGUCUUCGGAUGAGUAAAGCGGCGAACGGGUGAGUAAUGCAUGGGAAUCUGCCUGGUAGUGGGGGACAACGUCUCGAAAGGGACGCUAAUACCGCAUACGCCUACGGGGAAAGGGGGGAGGUCUUCGGACCUCUCGCUAUCAGAUGAGCCCACUGUCAGAUUAGCUAGUUGGUGAGGUAAAGGGACUCACCAAGGCGACGAUCUGUAACUGGUCUGAGAGGAUGAUCAGUCACACUGGAACUGAGACACGGUCCAGACUCCUACGGGAGGCAGCAGUGGGGGAAUAAUUGGACAAAUGGGGGCGAACCCUCGAUCCAGCCAUGCCGCGUGUGUGAAGAAGGCCUAGGGUUGUAAAGCACUUUCAGU